rnacentral:snRNA from 1 species
GGAUGUGAGGGCGAUCUGGCUGCGAUAUGUGAUACCCCAUUGAUCCCCAGGGUUGAUUCGGCUGAUCUGGCUGGCUAGGCGGGUGUCCCCCUGGCUAGGCGGGUGUCCCCCUGGCUAGGUGGGUGUCCCCCUCCUCCCUCACCGAUCCAUGUGCAUCCCUCCCGAAGCUGCGCACUUGGUCGGAGAGGGCGGUCUUCAGUCAAGGGUAUACGAGUAGCUGUGCUCCCCUGCUAGAAUCUCCAAACAAGCUCUCAAAUCUCAGUGCCAGCCCUUUACUAACUGUACAACAUCAGGUGAGAUAUGAGCCCCAAUUUUGUCUGU